UACGGAGGGUGCAAGCGUUAUCCGGAUUCACUGGGCUUAAAGGGUGCGUAGGAGGGCAGGUAAGUCAGGGGUGAAAUCUCCAAGCUUAACUUGGAAACUGCCGUUGAUACUAUCUGUCUUGAAUGUUGUGGAGGUGAGCGGAAUAUGUCAUGUAGCGGUGAAAUGCUUAGAUAUGACAUAGAACACCAAUUGCGAAGGCAGCUCACUGCACAAUUAUUGACUCUGAGGCACGAAAGCGUGGGGAUCAAACAGG
rnacentral:rRNA from 1 species